GAGCAAGGGCGCCGAUAUUAAUUUAUCGAUGGCGAAUCUCUUGCCUUGAAGGUUGGCAACAUCCAAACAGCGAUUCUCCGUGCCUUUCAAAUUCUUCUGUUUUGAUUAUGGCCUCGAACAAAUCGCCACAUU
rnacentral:snoRNA from 1 species